CUUUGUUAAUUCCAUGCAUUACUUGAGGAAUGAUUGCAAUUUAAACGCUAUUCUGUACUUUCAAGCUAACCCCUCCCCAAACCAUUCAGUAGCUUUUGGCGUAGGCCCAGAUAAGUUAGAUUCAUUGAAAAAUCAUUAAAAUUGCAGUAUAAAUGGUUACAUUUUAAGUAGUGCCAUUUUCAUGCUCCAAUUAAAAGUAUCUAAUACUUUUAUUUCUAAAUAUAUCACGUGCUUAAUGUAUUCAGCUUUAUGUAUCUCUUCAUUCUUGGCUUUUGUGUGUUUCUCUCCUGUAUUCAUGUCUUUUUUUUCUUCCUGGUGUUUCUGUAGAUUCCCAGGCACUGUAUCAG
rnacentral:lncRNA from 1 species